CUCACUUCGUGUGACCCAGCUACUUCCCUGGCACAAAGAUCAAAUGCAGAAGGAACUGCACGUGGAAAGGCCAGCCACAUACAUCACAAAAAGAGGACUGAAGUCAGCACACAGCUUGAAAGCCGGACUACAGGCCUUUCUUCAAGAAUGGCUGGAGUGACCCUGGGGACUUGCUGCAAGAAGCAAGAGGAUUGGGCAAAGGUCAAGAGGCCAUUUGUCAAACAGCACAAGACAUGUAACAGGAUAUGCACAGUGAGACAUGGCGGGGGAGAGCCCCCACGGAGCCCAGGGGAUGUAUGACAUCAUAGUCACAGUCCUACAUCUUCCUCUGUUUCCCCAGCUACCCUGGCUAUCUCUGCAGACAGGAAGAGAGCUGCCAAGUAGGGCUGGAAAGAGACACUCGGCAGGUAGAUCUUGCCGUAACAAGGAGAAGAAACUCAUGGAUUUCACCUAAGACCAGAGAAGGGAACAUUCCCAAGAGACUUGGAGGUUCCAUCUCUCAAGCAACCUGAAAUUAGCAGGGAUUUCUCCUGCGGCUUUGCCAUGAUGUGGGGAAAAGGGAAGUGGUUUUGACGCAAGGGACAGAGGGAGUGUUGGCGGUGGCAGGGGGAGCAGGGGCAGCAGCUCACUUACGGGUUAAAACCACCCUGGAGAGGCCCAGCUCUCUGAAGUUCGACAUCAGAAUAUACAUUCGAGUAAGGGUGGUCAGUUAUUCAAUUUUUUGAGACUCACUUUCCUUGUCUUUAUACAUGAGGUUUAACAAAAUUGUCAAGAAGGUGACAGAAAACAGCAGAGGAAAAAGCUGCAGUAUAGUGGAUACUCCAUAAAUAUUGGUUCCCUUGGCUAUAUUCGUCCCCUCUUUUUCCCAAGUGUAGAGCAACAUGGAUUAAAAUUUAUUUUGUAUUUCUAGAUCUCCAGCAAAUGUAUUUAGAACUGUUCUAUUAAAUUUUCCUGGAAAAUAAAGCAUCCCUUGCAUUGAGGCUAUCUAGGUAAUCUAUUUAACAGCAUCUAAGUCUAGAAAUUCAGAAACGUCUAUAUGUGCGCCUCUCUCUGUAAUGUCCUGAUUCUUUUUUUUUUUCUCAUCCACUUGCCCAUCAGUGGUUCAGAUAUUCUCUCUAUAUUUGUGUUUGCAAAGUUCUAUUCCUGAAUGGAAUUUUCUCCCAGGAAUUCCCGACCGAGGCCAUCUGCUCUGCAGGCAGAAAGUGAAGCGACCGCAGCCUGAUGCAGCCAGGAAGGCAGAGGCUGAGAGGAGGGAGUGUGGCAUCAGAACAGAGUCCGCCGGGGCUCUGGCUUCCUCCUCCGGGAUCAAGGGAAAUGUGCGAAGCACAGUGCAGAAUCCCGGGCGGCUCAUGCCCACUCACUUGCUGGGGGAACAGAUAAAACACGAGUGAGGGGGAGAUUUUGUGGGCUGACACUCCCCAGAAAUGCUGUGUGCACAUGGGCGUGGUGAUUGAUACUUAGCGCUUUGAAGCAAACACCGUGAGACUACUCAGCAUUGGGAGAAGCUGUCCACGCGGACGCCCAGGAAGCAGCCCGGAGGAUAGGGUGCCCCAGCAGUACUGCAGAAUCCCAACUACUGACGAGAAUGAGUAAAAGAAUGCACAGAUUGGACAUGUAAAUAAACAGGUUAAAUACCCUGGCAGCUCUUGAAAACAAACCCCUUUUUCUGAAUCUGCUCAGAAACCUCCGUUCUCAUGGUCACUCGGCAACAUGCUGCGGAGAAGAAGACUCGGCCUCGGAACAGCCAUGCCCGGGUUCGAUCCCAGUCCUAGCUUGUGGCAGCCGGGUGACUGGGCAUGAUUCCUGGGCUUCAGUCCUAAUCUGUAAAACGUAGGGGCUGAAGGAGGAAGCGGGAUGGAGUGGAGACCAUUAGAAUUAAUGUAUGAGGCCAGGCGCAGUGGCUCACACCUGUAAUCCCAGCACUUUGGGAGGCCAAGACAGGCAGAUCAGGAGGUCAGGAGAUCGAGACCAUCCUGGCUAACAUGGUGAAACCCCAUCUCUACUAAAAAUACAAAAAAUUAUCCAGGCGUGGUGGCACGUGCCUGUAGUCCCAGCUACUCGGGAGGCUGAGGCAGGAGAAUUGUUUGAAUAUGGGGGGCCAAGGUUGCAGUGAGCCAAGAUCGUGCCACUGCACUCCAGCCGGGGCAACAGAGAGAGACUCCAUCUCAAAAUAAUAAUAAUAAUAAUAAUAAUAAUAAUAAUAAUAAUAAUAAUAAAUGUAUAAAAAGUGAAGUCCCUG
rnacentral:lncRNA from 10 species